rnacentral:misc_RNA from 1 species
UCUCCGUAGGUGAACCUGCGGAGGGAUCAUUACAGAGUUCAUGCCCUACCGGGUAGAUCUCCCACCCUAUGUUAUUAUUACUUUGUUGCUUUGGCGGGCCGUUAGGCUCCGGCCCGACUACCGGCCCCGGCUGGUAAGCGCCCGCCAGAGGACCCAAAACCCUGAAUAUUAGUGUCGUCUGAGUACUAUAUAAUAGUUAAAACUUUCAACAACGGAUCCCUUGGUUCUGACAUCGAUGAAGAACGCAGC